rnacentral:lncRNA from 1 species
UGAAAAUCUGAUUGCAAAGAAAAGCACAUAUAGAAAGUCCUAUAAUACUCUAGAAACUUUGAUUGUUAUAGCUCUGUCUUAUUUUCCUGGAAAACGUUUUCCUUGAAGUUUUGUUAAAGUCAUUACAUUUUUUUUAGAAUAAUAAUUAGUCAAAGUCAUUAUAUUUUGUUAUUAUAACAAGAAUUAUAGCACGAAUAAAGAAAUGUUUUCAUUUUUGCUUUCUUUGUACUCAAACCCUAAGAAAAAAAAUGAAAGGAACUGUUCAACCAUUUCUAGAUUCGGUGAAAACAAAUUUAUUUGAAUUUUGAGCUAAUAAAUAUGUCAAACCUACUAAAAAGAGAGGGUGUCAUGUACAGGAAUGGUAACAGGUAAGGUUAAGAUGAAUUUUUAUUCAUUUCGAACUUGAGUUGAUUUUAUUAUAAUAAAAUUUAAAUUUGAUUUGAUCUGAUAAUAUUUUUAAUAUUUUUCAUAUAUGACUUGAUAAGAAAUUAAUAAAAUAUUUUUUAAAAAUAUAAAAUAUUAUUUUUAAUAUAAAUAUAAAAUUAAAUAAAAUAUAAAUAUAUAUAUAUAAUUAAUUAAUUAAAAAAUAAUUAUAUAUAUGAAGUCGAAUUUGUCUAAAACUUUAUCCUAAUUUUUUUUUAUUAUUACUCUAUAUGACUUGACCAUAUACCCAAUUUAAAAAAAAAAAAAAAAAACCUUAAGAGGUUGAAUCAAAGUCAAAACCCACCAAAUUCAGGUUGGAUUGUUUUUUCUAAUGAUAAGAUUUCAAAAUACACUUUAACAUUUAGUGUUUAAAAAAAAAAAAAAAAAGAGAAUGGAGAGAAUGUAAUUGAAUAUGUGAUUUAAUUUUCUCCUUUUAAUUUUAUGAAUAAUGACGUGAUUAAUUGAAUAAGUUUUUUUUUUUUUUUGUUUGAGCUUGAGACCAUGCAUGAAUGCUGAUGACUUGAUGCAUUGAUGAUGCUGUAUAUUUUCUUCGAUGAUCCAGAUUGUGCAACUAAUCUUGCUUCUUUCUUCUUUUUAGCACAAGGAUGACUCCGUGGAUUUGAUUUACGUAAAGAAAAAUAGUUGUAAAUUUUAUCAUUGUAUAUAUAUUUUUUUGGUAAAGAGUAAAUAUGUUACUCAAUUUUCAAGUUAAGAUAUGUCAUAUUUAAUAAUUUAAGAUAAAUAUUUAUAAAUUAUACAUUUAAGAUAAUCUCAAUGAAUUAUCAAUAUAAAAUUCAAACUCAAAAUUUUUAUAUUAAAAUAGAUAAAUUUUAAUUAAUUGAGCUAACCAUUUGUUAGUAUUAUAGUUAAAAUUAAAAUUCAAAACCUCUUAAUUGGAAAGUAUUGUGAUCGUGUUGAGGUGUAAUUUCAAGAUAUUUUUAUUAGUGAAAAAUGUAUUAUUAAUAAUUAAAAUGAAAUAAUCAUAACCCAAUCUAUUCACUGAUCGGAAUUGGAUAGAUUUUUAGGCUCAUGGGCCUAGCCCAUUUUUAAUCCGGUCCAAGACAUGACCUUUAGAUAUAAGGCCAGCUUAAUUUGAAUAUUUAAAUAAUAACCAAUUUUAUUUAAUUUUAAUUUUAAGAUAUUGAUAUAAAAAUAUUUUUAACAUUUUUAUCAAUCCAAGAAAUUUAAUUUUAAUAUUUGAUAAUAAAUAUAAUUUUGAACAAAGAGGUCAAAAUUUUAGAGAUGGACCGGUUGCUUCAUCCAUAUCAAUAACAGUGUCAAUUUGCUUAUCUGCAAGUAAAUCAAUAAUUUUUUUAAGAUUUAUUUUAAUUCUAAAAACUAUUUGAUGCAUAUAAUUUUUUUUAUGUAAAUUUAGAAAGCUGCAUUACAUUAAGGUUAUUUUUGCUAAUACGCAAACAAAAAGUUUUAAUUUAGGCACCAUUUGGUAAAUAUUUUUUACUUUUUUGUUAUUUUUGCCAAAAAAAAAAAAGAUUAAAAAGGAAAAAGCAAAAAAUCAAUUUUGAUUUUUUGGGCAAAAAAUUUUGAAUGAAAAAUUAAAAACAAAUAACAAAAAAUAAAACAGAAUUUAAUGAUUGAAUUAUAGAAUAUCACAUAUUUAAUUUUACUUAAAAAAGCCAAAUCUCAACUUAAAUUUUCUGCAGGCAUGGGCCUCUGGAUUCAAUAAUCAAAUUAUGUUUGUGAAAAAUGCUCGAAUACUGGAAUAUUGCUUUGAUUAAUAUUGCCAAAAAGAAAGAUAAUUUCGCAAAAUAAAGAAAAUCACACUAGAAUUGCUAUAUUCAAAGAAUCAACUUCAUUACAAUGGUACAAUGAAGUAACAAAGAAUGAAUCUAGAAAAUGAAAAACAACCAAUAUAGAAGAGCCAAACAAGCCCUUAAAUUUAAUGCUUCAAGAAAGCAAGAAGAGAAACAAUAAAAGAGAAGCCAACAGCUAUGCUGGAAACGCCCACUGAGAAUCCAGCACCAGCGUCUGGGGCAGGAGAAGGCGCCUCGCUAACCUGCGCCGACGCGGCUGUUAAGAAUGCCAUGACCAAAGCCACCAAAAAAGCCUUCAACAUGCUAACUUGCGCCAUUGCUGAAAGAGAGAAGAUGAGAAAAAAAACUGUUUAUCUAUUCUCGAAAUUGUGAGAGAAUUUGUUUGUUUGGCUUUUUCUUUUCUUUGGUUUAGGGUUGGGGAAGGGAAAAGAAUGUAUUUAUAGGAGGAAUGAGCGGCGCGUGGGGCCUACGAAGAGGAGAGUGACAGCUGGGUAACGUUCACAUAACAGCUAAAAAGGUAAGUGAACAGAACCGAGGAACGUUGUGUUGCGUUGUGUUGCGUUGUGUUGCGUUGUGUGGUGUGGUGUGAAGUUGAAAGUUUUUGCUGUCUGUGGGCGGAAGCCAAUAGGAGAUUGACACCUUCGUUUGAAGUUGGUCGUCCGAAUCUAUGUCGGUAAACCACACGGAAGCCCUCAUGUAAUGUUGGGUUGGAAUUUGGACGAAGGUGGGGUUGAAAGCCUAAAGCCAACGAUUAAUUCAUAACAUACAUUCACCUCAUACGUAGUCGGCUUUUCCAAGUUCACACACCCAAAUCUUCAAAAAUCCAAAUCCUUUAUUAUUUCAAACACCUAAAA